UUCAAACACAAACCUCCGUUAU
rnacentral:misc_RNA from 1 species